UUAUUAUUAUUCACAGUCAGCCAGAUGUUCAGAUUGGGUUUGGCAUUUUUGUCUACCUAUCAAGUCCUUACCAAGGACCUUGAAUAGGCAAAGCUGGAUGUUUGAUAGUGUUACAGAUAUCAUUGCUUUACAUUGCAUGA